GUAUGACUCUCGGCAAUGGAUAUCUUGGCUCUUGCAUCGAUGAAGAGCGCAGCGAAAUGCGAUACGUGGUGUGAAUUGCAGAAUCCCGUGAACCAUCGAAUUUUUGAACGCAAGUUGCGCCCGAGGCCAAUUGGCUAAGGGCACGUCCGCCUGGGCGUCAAGC
rnacentral:rRNA from 1 species